UCAAUGUGGACAACCACUGGGGUCACUCAGUGGCUCUGUCCAUGUGGUGUAAAGGAGCACAGCGCUUCGGUGCAGUGGUGUAUAGUCCUGUCCCACGACAUUGGAGAUCAAGCUUGUCCCCAGUCUUCGUACUGGUGAGGGCAUGGUCCUGUAUAUUCCUUAUCUUCUCGGUACCUAGUUGUUGAGGAGAAAAACCAUACAGGGCACAAUU